rnacentral:rRNA from 1 species
AGUUCGGAUUGUAGGCUGAAACUCGCCUACAUGAAGCUGGAGUUGCUAGUAAUCGCGAAUCAGCAUGUCGCGGUGAAUACGUUCCCGGGCCUUGUACACACCGCCCGUCACACCAUGAGAGUUGGCAAUACCCAACGUACGUGAUCUAACCCGCAAGGGAGGAAGCGUCCUAAGGUAGGGUCAGCGAUUGGGGUGAAGUCGUAACAAGGUACC